rnacentral:rRNA from 1 species
AGUAACGGCGAGUGAAGCGGCAACAGCUCAAAUUUGAAAUCUGGCCCCAGGCCCGAGUUGUAAUUUGUAGAGGAUGUUUCUGACGAGGUACCUUCCGAGUUCCCUGGAACGGGACGCCAUAGAGGGUGAGAGCCCCGUACGGUUGGUCGCCAAGUCUCUGUGAAACUCCUUCGACGAGUCGAGUAGUUUGGGAAUGCUGCUCAAAAUGGGAGGUAUACGUCUUCUAAAGCUAAAUAUAGGCCAGAGACCGAUAGCGCACAAGUAGAGUGAUCGAAAGAUGAAAAGCACUUUGAAAAGAGGGUUAAAUAGUACGUGAAAUUGUUGAAAGGGAAGCGCACAUGACCAGACUUGGCCGGGUUAAUCAUCCAUCGUUCUCGGUGGUGCACUUUGCCCGGCCAGGCCAGCAUCAGUUCGCCUUGGGGGAUAAAGGCUUUGGGAAUGUGGCUCCUCCGGGAGUGUUAUAGCCCACUGCGCAAUACCCUGGGGUGGACUGAGGUUCGCGCAUCUGCAAGGAUGCUGGCGUAAUGGUCAUCUGCGACCCGUCUUGAAACACGGACCAAGGAGUCGUCUUCGUAUGCGAGUGUUCGGGUGUCAAACCCCUACGCGUAAUGAAAGUGAACGUAGGAGAGAGCUUCGGCGCAUCUCCGACCGAUCCUGAUGUUCUCGGAUGGAUUUGAGUAAGAGCAUACGGGGCCGGACCCGAAAGAAGGUGAACUAUGCCUGUAUAGGGUGAAGCCAGAGGAAACUCUGGUGGAGGCUCGCAGCGGUUCUGACGUGCAAAUCGAUCGUCAAAUAUGGGCAUGGGGGCGAAAGACUAAUCGAACCUUCUAGUAGCUGGUUUCCGCCGAAGUUUCCCUCAGGAUAGCAGUGUUGAACUCAGUUUUAUGAGGUAAAGCGAAUGAUUAGGGAAUCGGGGGCGCUUAUUAGCCUUCAUCCAUUCUCAAACUUUAAAUAUGUAAGAAGCCCUUGUUGCUUAGUUGAACGUGGGCAUUCGAAUGUAUCAA